rnacentral:piRNA from 1 species
UACAUAACCUGGAAGAGGUUAGUGAUGU